rnacentral:rRNA from 1 species
CCGGAUCUCAGAUCAAGUAAGAUUACCCGCCGAAUUUAAGCAUAUAAUUAAGCGGAGGAAAAGAAACUAACUAGGAUUCCCUCAGUAACGGCGAGUGAAGCGGGAUGAGCUCAGGAUGUAAAUCUGCGCUAUUAAAGCGCCGAAUUGUGGUCUGUAGACUUUGGUGUUAUCUGCCGGGCCAAGUUCCUUGGAAAAGGACAGCUGAGAGGGUGAGACUCCCGUCCGCCUGGUAGAGUGAGCCUUUGUCAAAGAGUCGAGUUGUUUGGGAUUGCAGCUCUAAUUUGGUGGUAAAUUCCAUCUAAAGCUAAAUAUUGGUGGGAGACCGAUAGCGUACAAGUACCGUGAGGGAAAGAUGCAAAGAACUUUGAAAAGAGAGUUAAAGAGUACCUGAAAUUGCUGAAACGGAAGCGAAGGAAACCAGUGUUUGUUUGUUCAUAUUUCCCUGACCACUUGUGGUUUGGGCGCUGUGGGCUUGCGUCGGUUUGCUUUGGUUAAUCCCUUUGGAAGAGCGCAGUCAGAGUUGAUGUCUGUUGCUAGCACUGGGUUUGACUUGAGUAGACGAAAUG